rnacentral:rRNA from 1 species
GACGAACGCUGGCGGCGUGCUUAACACAUGCAAGUCGAACGAGUGGCGAACGGGUGAGUAAUACGUGAGUAACCUGCCCUCUUUUUGGGAUAAGCCUUGGAAACGGGGUCUAAUACCGAAUAAAGGGGGAUGGGCUCGCGGCCUAUCAGCUUGUUGGUGGGUUGAUGGCCUACCAAGGCGGUGACGGGUAGCCGGCCUGGGAGGGUGAACUGCCAGUACGGGACCGACCUACGUCCCAGACUCCUACGGGGGGGAGCAGUGCGGGAUAUUUAACAGUGGGCGAGUGCCAUAAUGAGCGACACCGCGUGGGUGCUAACGGCUGUCGGGGUUUUUACCUAGUUCGAUAGCGAAUCGGUAGGCGGAGAAGAAGCUCCGGCUAGCUCCGUACCAGCAGCCGCGGUAAUAC